CAUGGGGGAACCCUGAUGCAGCGACGCCGCGUGAGCGAAGAAGUAUUUCGGUAUGUAAAGCUCUAUCAGCAGGGNAAGAAGAAUGACGGUACCUGACUAAGAAGCACCGGCUAAAUACGUGCCAGCAGCCGCGGUAAUACGUAGGGUGCAAGCGUUAUCCGGAAUUAUUGGGCGUAAAGGGCUCGUAGGCGGUUCGUCGCGUCCGGUGUGAAAGUCCAUCGCUUAACGGUGGAUCUGCGCCGGGUACGGGCGGGCUGGAGUGCGGUAGGGGAGACUGGAAUUCCCGGUGUAACGGUGGAAUGUGUAGAUAUCGGGAAGAACACCAAUGGCGAAGGCAGGUCUCUGGGCCGUUACUGACGCUGAGGAGCGAAAGCGUGGGGAGCGAACAGGAUUAGAUACCCUGGUAGUCCAAGGGCGAAUUC
rnacentral:rRNA from 1 species